AAGUCGUAACAAGGUUUCCGUAGGUGAACCUGCGGAAGGAUCAUUACAGAGAAAUUGCCCUUCGGGGUAGAUCUCCCACCCUUUGCUUAAAUUACCUUUGUUGCUUUGGCAGGUCUGUCUCACGACUACCGGCUUAGGCUGGUUUGUACCUGCCAGAGGACCCUAAACUCUUGAUAUUUUGUUGUCCGAGUAUAUAUAUAAUAAGUUAAAA
rnacentral:misc_RNA from 1 species